rnacentral:lncRNA from 1 species
UGCUGCCAUAUUGAAUAUGGAUAUAGAUGCUGUUGUAUUAAAAAAUAUCCUGAGUAAUCAACAAAUGGUAGCCCCUAAUAUCUAAAAAAACCUUGCAAAUGUAGCUACAAAAGGGAUAAUUAAUUUGAUCAUUGAGGAUCUUGGAGAUAAUUAAUUUGGAAUAUUGGUUGAUGAAUCUAGUGAUAUAUCUAGAAAAUAACAAAUGACAGUUAUAGUACA